AAUAGAUACCCCGGUAGUCCACGCCGUAAACGAUGAGUGCUAAGUGUUAGGGGGUUUCCGCCCCUUAGUGCUGCAGCUAACGCAUUAAGCACUCCGCCUGGGGAGUACGGCCGCAAGGCUGAAACUCAAAGGAAUUGACGGGGGCCCGCACAAGCGGUGGAGCAUGUGGUUUAAUUCGAAGCAACGCGAAGAACCUUACCAGGUCUUGACAUCCUCUGACAAUCCUAGAGAUAGGACGUUCCCCUUCGGGGGACAGAGUGACAGGUGGUGCAUGGUUGUCGUCAGCUCGUGUCGUGAGAUGUUGGGUUAAGUCCCGCAACGAGCGCAACCCUUGAUCUUAGUUGCCAGCAUUCAGUUGGGCACUCUAAGGUGACUGCCGGUGACAAACCGGAGGAAGGUGGGGAUGACGUCAAAUCAUCAUGCCCCUUAUGACCUGGGCUACACACGUGCUACAAUGGAUGGUACAAAGGGCUGCAAGACCGCGAGGUUUAGCCAAUCCCAUAAAACCAUUCUCAGUUCGGAUUGCAGG
rnacentral:rRNA from 1 species